rnacentral:rRNA from 1 species
CGUGGGCCCCUUACCGGGGUUGCGGACAGUGUCUGGUGGGUAGUUUGACUGGGGCGGUCUCCUCCUAAAGAGUAACGGAGGAGCACGAAGGUUGGCUAAUCCUGGUCGGACAUCAGGAGGUUAGUGCAAUGGCAUAAGCCAGCUUGACUGCGAGCGUGACGGCGCGAGCAGGUGCGAAAGCAGGUCAUAGUGAUCCGGUGGUUCUGAAUGGAAGGGCCAUCGCUCAACGGAUAAAAGGUACUCCGGGGAUAACAGGCUGAUACCGCCCAAGAGUUCAUAUCGACGGCGGUGUUUGGCACCUCGAUGUCGGCUCAUCACAUCCUGGGGCUGAAGUAGGUCCCAAGGGUAUGGCUGUUCGCCAUUUAAAGUGGUACGCGAGCUGGGUUUAGAACGUCGUGAGACAGUUCGGUCCCUAUCUGCCGUGGGCGCUGGAGAACUGAGGGGAGCUGCUCCUAGUACGAGAGGACCGGAGUGGACGCAUCACUGGUGUUCGGGUUGUCAUGCCAAUGGCACUGCCCGGUAGCUAAAUGCGGAAGAGAUAAGUGCUGAAAGCAUCUAAGCACGAAACUUGCCCCGAGAUGAGUUCUCCCUGAGACUUAGAGUCUCCUGAAGGAACGUUGAAGACGACGACGUUGAUAGGCCGGGUGUGUAAGCGCAGCGAUGCGUUGAGCUAACCGGUACUAAUGAACCGUGAGGCUUAACCUUACAACGCCGAAG